rnacentral:lncRNA from 1 species
UCUUUGGGAUCCCUCUGGGCACAGGAUCAGGUCCCUCCGGGAUCCACUGGUGCCCAGAACCCCCUCAGGGGCAGGAUCGGGCUCCUCAGGAUCCAGCGGCGACUCAGGAUCCCUCCAGGAUCCACUCGAUCUUCGGGAUCCUGUGGGUGCAGGAUCAGGCCCCUCUGGGAUCCACUGGUGCCCGGAAUCCCUCGAGGUCCAGGAUCAGGCCCCUCAGGAUCCAGCGGUGACUCAGGAUCAGGCCCCUCCGGGAUCCACUCGAUCCUUGGGAUCCUGUGGGUGCAGGAUCGGGCCCCUCCAGGAUCCACUGGUGCCCAGGACCCUCCUGGGGGCAGGAUCGGGCCCUUUGGGGAUCCAGCGGUGACUCAGGAUCAGGCCCCUCCGGGAUCCACUCGAUCCUUGGGAUCCUGUGGGUGCAGGAUCGGGUCCCUCCGGGAUCCAGUUGAUCUUCAGGAUCCUGUGGGUGCAGGAUCGGGCCCCUCCAGGUGUCCCCAAUGUCCCCAAGGGGUGGGGGUGGCCCCCAUGUCCUCAAUGUCCCCAAAACCAUCGAGGUGGCCCCCAGAUCUCAAUGUCCCCCACGUCCUCGAUGUCCCCAACGUCCCCAAAACCAUCGAGGUGGCCCCCAGAUCUCAAUGUCCCCCACGUCCUCGAUGUCCCCAACGUCCUCAAUGUCCCCAACGUCCCCAAAAACAUCAGGGUGGCCCCCAGAUCUCACUGUCCCCAAUGUCCCCAAGGGGUGGGGGUGGCCCCCAUGUCCUUGAUGUCCCCAAGGUAUCGGGGUGGCCCCCAGAUCUCGCUGUCCCCCAUGUCCUCAAUGUCCCCAAAACAUCGAAGUGGCCCCCAGAUCCCGCUGUCCCCAGUGUCCCCAAGGCUUCAGGGUGGCCCCCA